ACGCACGCUGGCGGCGUGCCUCAUACAUGCCAGUUGAGCGCUGAAGGUUGGUACUUGUACCAACUGGAUGAGCAGCGAACGGGUGAGUAACGCGUGGGGAAUCUGCCUUUGAGCGGGGGACAACAUUUGGAAACGAAUGCUAAUACCGCAUAAAAACUUUAAACACAAGUUUUAAGUUUGAAAGAUGCAAUUGCAUCACUCAAAGAUGAUCCCGCGUUGUAUUAGCUAGUUGGUGAGGUAAAGGCUCACCAAGGCGAUGAUACAUAGCCGACCUGAGAGGGUGAUCGGCCACAUUGGGACUGAGACACGGCCCAAACUCCUACGGGAGGCAGCAGUAGGGAAUCUUCGGCAAUGGACGAAAGUCUGACCGAGCAACGCCGCGUGAGUGAAGAAGGUUUUCGGAUCGUAAAACUCUGUUGGUAGAGAAGAACGUUGGUGAGAGUGGAAAGCUCAUCAAGUGACGGUAACUACCCAGAAAGGGACGGCUAACUACGUG
rnacentral:rRNA from 1 species